UUAACUAUUAUAUAGUACUCAGACGACAAUAUUCAGGGUUUGAGGGUCUCUGGCAGGCACGAGCCAGCUUACGCCGGCAGCCGAGGCAGGCCUGCCAAAGCAACAAAGUAUAAUAAACAAAGGGUGGGAGAUCUACCCCGAAGGGCAGGUUCUCGGUAGUGAUCCUUCCGCAGGUUCACCUACGGAAA
rnacentral:misc_RNA from 1 species